AAUGCCUUGCACAGAACAUCGGGGUGUGGUGGGGGUCUGUCUAUCACUCCUUCAAGAAGCAGCGCUGAGAUUUGGGUUGGAGAGCAAAGGAAGGAAAGAGAAAAACGCAUCCAUGGAGGUGGAGCUGGUGGUUAUUCUCAAUUGUUCUAACGCUUGUUUGUCUUCCUCUCGGGUCAGAAACCUCUCACAGGGCAGCUCUCAGGAAAAGGGCAAUCUUCGGUAGAUUUGCUCAGAUGUCACUUGAGAUGAACCAGCGAGAGAAAUGAAAAAGAAAGUCUCUGAGAGGCCUCGUAGUGUUGACAGGACUGGACUGCAGCCUCAAGAUGGUGGCAGCGGAAGCAAACUGGAGCAACAGGUGCUGAACGCCUGGCAGCAUCUCUCUGGCUCUCCUCCUUACCACAAGGAGUUUAGGAAGACAACCACCGAGGAGAGGAGACCACAUCUUGUAAACCUUACCUAUCUUCUAAGAUGUUGUGCUUUGAAGCGACAACAACCCCUUGAUGAAUUAGUGAACACUAUUGGACUUUGAAGAUUGUACUCUGAAUGGAAGGAAGAAGAAGAAGAGGAGAAUUGCACAUAUUGGCUGAAGUCCUGUUGAAGAUGGUGUAACAUAAAGUUACACCUGUGGAAGUCUGCCAGGCCCGAUGCCCAGGCAGCCAGCAUUGCACAACGGAUCAUACCGUCCAUGUCACUAUUGCACAGUUCAUGCCAUGGUUGUGUGAUCAGUCAUAUGGCUCACUGUUGCCUGCUUCAUGACAUGGUUGCACAAAUGAUGACACAUGCCAUGUUGCAACUGCUACAUGGUACAUCUGUGGAAGUGCUCCAUGGAUAAGGCUUCUGCUCUGUCACAAUUUUUUUCUAUCACUUCUGUAGCUUCAUAGAAUUUCAGCCAUUAUCUCCACUCCUAACCUCCAUCAUUCAGUCUGCCUCGGCAUGCACAUGUCUAUUCAGAUAUAUAGCUAAAACUGUGGAGAUUGACAGAAAGGGUGCUGCUGUGUGUGAUCCCCUCAACCCCUGUAUUCAUUAACAUACAUAUGUAUAACCAUUCUGUAAUAGUUGAGACUGAUGAGAGCAGCAGGCAAGUCCACGGCACCAUUUCAUGUCAGAGAAGAUUUGCCUUAAACAAAUGUAUUGUAGAAGUUCUGCUGCUACCCCUUUUUUCCCUAUCUUCCUGAAUGCCUCAUCUUCCACCACCCACCCACUUUUGAACUCUAUGAGCUUCCUGUGGUUGGGUCACCAGUUUGGGUUGGUGGAUGUGGAUUGCAUACACAUUGAUUCAAAUGAGCCUCCUUUAAACUCUACUUGCUUCAGCAUAGUCAGUCAAAGUUAGAGUAGAUCCUUUCGAGUCAAUGGAACUUAUGGAGGAGUUGACUCACCAAAUCUCCACUGAUUCAAUGGGCCUACUCAGAUGCAAUUUACUAUGCUAAGCAAUAGGAUUUUGGCCAUUGUCUUUGUCCCUGUGUAGCAUUUGUAGCAAAUCAAUUUCUUGAGUCAGACUAGAUUUUCACAAUAUCCUGGAUGGCGCAUAGUCCCAGCAUUCAUAUUGUACUGGAAAGGCAAGGGUGGCCUUCCUGUGGCUUCAUGCAAGGAAGAAAGUGUGAAAUAAACUAUAGCCUAAAUAUAAUUAGUCCCA
ensembl:lncRNA